CUACACCUGUCGUGCCACGUGUACGUAUACGUUCGUAUAGAGGAGCAUGCGCUGCAGCGCAUGCAACGGUAUUCCAUGCAACAUGCAAAGCUAGCUAAAGGCAUGCUUGCCCCACAUUUUCUCAGCACUACCAGCUUCGUUUGAUGGUCGUUUGAUGCAUUGAUUAUGCUACAAUUUUCUCUUUCAAUGGACUCCCGAUGACACCCACAUCACAUGACCAGCUCCAACCAUGCUCCAAGCAUGCUCCAGUGCAUGCUUCAACCAGUUCCCAAGGCAAGAAUCUCGACUCAAGACGAAAACGUGACACUAUUCUUUCCAGUUCAUCUGCAAGAUUCCUGCUUUUUCUCUUUACCCAUUCAAAACACAUUUUUCUUCUAGCCAUAAUUUUAUUAUUUAGAAGUCAUGAAAAUGAAAUAGUGCAAAUAUAAUCACUCUUUUCUGCUGUUUUAUGUCCAUCCUUUUGUAAAGUUAUAUCCUUGGCUUAGUUGUACCCAAGAAUAAUUAUGGAAUGAUUACCCGUCUUGCUUGAAAGUCUUUCAUGGAAUGUUUUUGCCUAUGCU